rnacentral:misc_RNA from 1 species
GAUGAAGAACGUAGCGAAAUGCGAUAAGUAAUGUGAAUUGCAGAAUUCAGUGAAUCAUCGAAUCUUUGAACGCACAUUGCGCCCGCCAGUAUUCUGGCGGGCAUGCCUGUUCGAGCGUCAUUUCAACCAUCAAGCCCCAGGCUUGUGUUGGGGACCUGCGGCUGCCGCAGGCCCUGAAAACCAGUGGCGGGCUCGCUGUCACACCGGGCGUAGUAGAUUUUAUCUCGCUCAGGGCGUGCUGCGGGUUCCGGCCGUUAAAAAGCCUUUUUUACCCAAGGUUGACCUCGGAUCAGGUAGGAAGACCCGCUGAACUUAAGCAUAUCAUAACGGAGGA